AGUAAGGAAUAUUGGACAAUGGGCGCAAGCCUGAUCCAGCCAUGCCGCGUGAAGGAUGAAGGCCCUAUGGGUUGUAAACUUCUUUUGGUAGGGAAAAAACCCCUCGAUGCGUCGGGGGCUGAUGGUACCUACAGAAUAAGGAUCGGCUAACUCCGUGCCAGCAGCCGCGGUAAUACGGAGGAUCCAAGCGUUAUCCGGAUUUAUUGGGUUUAAAGGGUGCGUAGGCGGAUAAAUAAGUCAGUGGUGAAAGCCUGCAGCUUAACUGCAGAACUGCCAUUGAUACUGUUUAUCUUGAAUAUAGUUGAGGUGGGCGGAAUAUGACAUGUAGUGGUGAAAUACUUAGAUAUGUCAUAGAACACCGAUUGCGAAGGCAGCUCACUAAGCUAUGAUUGACGCUGAGGCACGAAAGCGUGGGGAGCAAA
rnacentral:rRNA from 1 species